rnacentral:rRNA from 1 species
UACAGAGGUCUCAAGCGUUGUUCGGAUUCAUUGGGCGUAAAGGGUGCGUAGGUGGCGCCGUAAGUCAGGUGUGAAAUCUCGGGGCUCAACCCCGAAACUGCACUUGAUACUGCGGUGCUCGAGUACUGGAGAGGAGAUUGGAAUUUACGGUGUAGCAGUGAAAUGCGUAGAUAUCGUAAGGAAGACCAGUGGCGAAGGCGAGUCUCUGGACAGCAACUGACGCUGAGGCACGAAGGCCAGGGGAGCAAACGGG